UGGGGAAUAUUGGACAAUGGGCGAAAGCCUGAUCCAGCCAUGCCGCGUGAGUGAAGAAGGUCUUCGGAUUGUAAAGCACUUUAAGUUGGGUGGAAGGGCAGUAAGCGAAUACCUUGCUGUUUUGACGUUACCGACAGAAUAAGCACCGGCUAACUCUGUGCCAGCAGCCGCGGUAAUACAGAGGGUGCAAGCGUUAAUCGGAAUUACUGGGCGUAAAGCGCGCGUAGGUGGUUCGUUAAGUUGAAUGUGAAAGCCCCGGGCUCAACCUGGGAACUGCAUCCAAAACUGGCGAGCUAGAGUAGGGCAGAGGGUGGUGGAAUUUCCUGUGUAGCGGUGAAAUGCGUAGAUAUAGGAAGGAACACCAGUGGCGAAGGCGACCACCUGGGCUCAUACUGACACUGAGGUGCGAAAGCGUGGGGAGCAAACAGG
rnacentral:rRNA from 1 species